rnacentral:rRNA from 1 species
GAUGAACGCUGGCGGCGUGCCUAAUACAUGCAAGUCGAACGAACGGACGAGAAGCUUGCUGCUCUGAUGUUAGCCGCGGACGGGAGUGUAACACGUGGAUCACCUACCUGUAAGACUGGGAUAAGUUCGAGAAACCGGAGCUAAUACCGGAUAAUAUUUUGACCCGCAGGGUCCAUAAGUGAAAGACGUUCUUGCUGUAACUUAUAGAUGGAUCCGCGCUGCAUUAGCUAGUUGGUAAGGUAACGGCUUACCAAGGCAACGAUGCGUAGCCGACCUGAGGGGGUGAUCGCCCGCACGGGAAGGGAGACGCGCACAAUACUCCUACGGGAGGCCGCAGACGGGAACCGGCCGCAACGGGCGAAAGUCUGACGGAGUGAGGCCGCGUGAGUGAUGAAGGUCUUCGGAUAGGAAUACUCUGUUUUGAGGUAAGAACAUAUGUGUAAGUAACUGUAGACAUAGUGACGGUACCUAAUCAGAAAGCCACGGCUAACUACGUG